AUUGCCAUAUAUAGUUUGAAAAAUGCACAUCUUGGGAUUGGCAUUAAUCUGCUUCUGGUUUGGUUUUGCUGAAAGUUGUGAGAAAGUCUGCGCUCAUAACUUUAAGCCCAUGUGUGGUCACGAUGGAAAGUGUUUUACGGAAGCGGUAAAUGCCUGCCAAAUGAGAAAUAUAAAUUGUGUAAGAAUUGCUAAGGGAAAACCAGUUUUUAAAAAAUUGCAUCUUGGAGCGUGUCAAAGAUAUUUUACAAUUUGUAAAAUGUUACCCGAAGAUUGAAUGUAACCAUUUUUACAUAUGGUAGAAAGUCAAAUUGGGAGUGGUGUGAAAUCGAAAGAAAUUGUUACUAAUUAAAUGGACAUUUAAACUAAGCGCAUAUUUCGGAAUUAUCAUUCUAUUUUUUGGAUUGACGAGAGUAGUUGUAAUACGCUCUGCAGUGCAAU
rnacentral:misc_RNA from 1 species